rnacentral:rRNA from 1 species
GACGAACGCUGGCGGCGUGCUUAACACAUGCAAGUCGAACGGAAAGGCCCUGCUUGCAGGGUACUCGAGUGGCGAACGGGUGAGUAACACGUGGGUGAUCUGCCCUGCACUUCGGGAUAAGCCUGGGACACUGGGUCUAAUACCGGAUAGGAGCCAUUUUUAGUGCGAUGGUUGGAAAGUUUUUUCGGUGUAGGAUGAGCUCGCGGCCUAUCAGCUUGUUGGUGGGGUAAUGGCCUACCAAGGCGGCGACGGGUAGCCGGCCUGAGAGGGUGGACGGCCACAUUGGGGCUGCGAUACGGCCCAGACGCCUACGGGAGGCAGCAGUGGGGAAUAUUGCACAAUGGGCGCAAGCCUGAUGCAGCGACGCCGCGUGGGGGAUGACGGCCUUCGGGUUGUAAACUCCUUUCGCUAGGGACGAAGCUUUUUGUGACGGUACCUAGAUAAGAAGCACCGGCUAACUACGUG